AAGCGCUCAUGACCAGACUUGGGCCCGGUGAAUCAUCCAGCGUUCUCGCUGGUGCACUUUGCCGGGCACAGGCCAGCAUCAGUUUGCCGCGGGGGAUAAAGGCUUCGGGAACGUGGCUCCCUCGGGAGUGUUAUAG
rnacentral:rRNA from 1 species